UACGGAGGGUGCAAACGUUGCUCGGAAUCAUUGGGCGUAAAGCGCACGUAGGCGGUCCGACAAGUCGGGAGUGAAAGCCCUCGGCUUAACCGAGGAAGUGCUUUCGAAACUAUCGGACUUGAAUACCGGAGAGGGUCGCGGAAUUCCCGGUGUAGAGGUGAAAUUCGUAGAUAUCGGGAGGAACACCAGUGGCGAAGGCGGCGACCUGGACGGAUAUUGACGCUGAGGUGCGAAAGCGUGGGGAGCAAACAGG
rnacentral:rRNA from 1 species